UACGGGAGGCAGCAGGGGGGAAUAUUGCACAAUGGGCGAAAGCCUGAUGCAGCUAUGCCGCGUGUAUGAAGAAGGCCUUAGGGUUGUAAAGUACUUUCAUCGGGGAGGAAAAAACAAAACUAAUAAUUUUAUUUCUUGACGUUACCCGAAAAAGAAGCACCGGCUAACUCCGUGCCAGCAGCCGCGGUAAUACGGAGGGUGCUAGCGUUAAUCAGAAUUACUGGGCGUAAAGAGCACGUAGGUGGUUUUUUUAAGUCAGAUGUGAAAUCCCUGGGCUUAACCUGGAACUGCAUUUUGAAACUGAAAUACUAGAGUAUCGUAGAGGGAGGUAGAAUUCUAGGUGUAGCGGUGAAAUGCGUAGAUAUCUGGAGGAAUACCUGUGGCGAAAGCGGCCUCCUAAACGAAUACUGACACUGAGGGUGCGAAAGCGUGGGGAGCAAACAGGGAUUAGAUACCCGU
rnacentral:rRNA from 1 species